rnacentral:rRNA from 1 species
GGCGUGCCUAAUACUGCACGUCGAGCGAACUGAUUAGAAGCUUGCUUCUAUGACGUUAGCGGCGGACGGGUGAGUAACACGUGGGCAACCUGCCUGUAAGACUGGGAUAACUUCGGGAAACCGAAGCUAAUACCGGAUAGGAUCUUCUCCUUCAUGGGAGAUGAUUGAAAGAUGGUUUCGGCUAUCACUUACAGAUGGGCCCGCGGUGCAUUAGCUAGUUGGUGAGGUAACGGCUCACCAAGGCAACGAUGCAUAGCCGACCUGAGAGGGUGAUCGGCCACACUGGGACUGAGACACGGCCCAGACUCCUACGGGAGGCAGCAGUAGGGAAUCUUCCGCAAUGGACGAAAGUCUGACGGAGCAACGCCGCGUGAGUGAUGAAGGCUUUCGGGUCGUAAAACUCUGUUGUUAGGGAAGAACAAGUACAAGAGUAACUGCUUGUACCUUGACGGUACCUAACCAGAAAGCCACGGCUAACUACGUGCCAGCAGCCGCGGUAAUACGUAGGUGGCAAGCGUUAUCCGGAAUUAUUGGGCGUAAAGCGCGCGCAGGCGGUUUCUUAAGUCUGAUGUGAAAGCCCACGGCUCAACCGUGGAGGGUCAUUGGAAACUGGGGAACUUGAGUGCAGAAGAGAAAAGCGGAAUUCCACGUGUAGCGGUGAAAUGCGUAGAGAUGUGGAGGAACACCAGUGGCGAAGGCGGCUUUUUGGUCUGUAACUGACGCUGAGGCGCGAAAGCGU